GCACUGCUGAGGAGUCCCAUAAUAGGACGAAACAGUUGUCCAGUGC
rnacentral:hammerhead_ribozyme from 1 species